GAUGAACGCUAGCGGCAGGCCUAACACAUGCAAGUCGAGGGAGGAGCUUUCGGGCUUCGACCGGCGUACGGGUGCGUAACGCGUAUACAAUCUGCCUUUCACAUAGGGAUAGCCCGAAGAAAUUUGGAUUAAUACCUAAUGGUAUAUAGAGGUGGCAUCACCUUUAUAUUAAAGCUGAGGCGGUGAAAGGUGAGUAUGCGUUCUAUUAGCUAGUUGGAGAGGUAACGGCUCCCCAAGGCGACGAUAGAUAGGGGUUCUGAGAGGGAUAUCCCCCACACUGGUACUGAGAUACGGACCAGACUCCUACGGGAGGCAGCAGUGAGGAAUAUUGGACAAUGGUCGGAAGACUGAUCCAGCCAUGCCGCGUGCAGGAAGACGGCCUUAUGGGUUGUAAACUGCUUUUGCAGGGGAAGAAUAAGGACUACGCGUAGUUUGAUGACGGUACUCUGCGAAUAAGCAUCGGCUAACUCCGUG
rnacentral:rRNA from 1 species